GGUGAGUAACACGUGGGUAACCUGCCUGUAAGACUGGGAUAACUCCGGGAAACCGGGGCUAAUACCGGAUGGUUGUUUGAACCGCAUGGUUCAGACAUAAAAGGUGGCUUCGGCUACCACUUACAGAUGGACCCGCGGCGCAUUAGCUAGUUGGUGAGGUAACGGCUCACCAAGGCGACGAUGCGUAGCCGACCUGAGAGGGUGAUCGGCCACACUGGGACUGAGACACGGCCCAGACUCCUACGGGAGGCAGCAGUAGGGAAUCUUCCGCAAUGGACGAAAGUCUGACGGAGCAACGCCGCGUGAGUGAUGAAGGUUUUCGGAUCGUAAAGCUCUGUUGUUAGGGAAGAACAAGUGCCGUUCAAAUAGGGCGGCACCUUGACGGUACCUAACCAGAAAGCCACGGCUAACUACGUGCCAGCAGCCGCGGUAAUACGUAGGUGGCAAGCGUUGUCCGGAAUUAUUGGGCGUAAAGGGCUCGCAGGCGGUUUCUUAAGUCUGAUGUGAAAGCCCCCGGCUCAACCGGGGAGGGUCAUUGGAAACUGGGGAACUUGAGUGCAGAAGAGGAGAGUGGAAUUCCACGUGUAGCGGUGAAAUGCGUAGAGAUGUGGAGGAACACCAGUGGCGAAGGCGACUCUCUGGUCUGUAACUGACGCUGAGGAGCG
rnacentral:rRNA from 1 species